GGUUAAAGCGCCUGUCUAGUAAACAGGAGAUCCUGGGUUCGAAUCCCAGCGGUGCCUGCGCGGUGGAGUUCCGCCUUUUGCGCGCGGCCGCCGUUUUACCGCCGCUCAGGGUACGGCGCCGCGCGGGGCGGCGGGAAGGGCGCGUGGGGCUGAGGGGACGGGAGCGGGCUGCGCCGCGGUGUGCGUGCCGCGACGGGCGGCGGUGAGGAGCAAAGCGAUGCCUGUAUGGGAAAUUACAUGCCUGGAAGGCUGUGCAGGAACCCCGUGUUCUCUCUCAGGCUGCUGGUGACACAGGAGCAUUCUGAGACAUCUCUGAAAGUCAAAGGUCAAACCCUCCCUGUUGGGCAGGAGCAGUACCAAGUAUGAAGUCUGUGCAGCCUGACCUCACAGGAGAUGCAUGUCCUAAGUGUGAUUUAGGUCAUGGGUGGUGUGAAGAUGGCCUUUGCAAUAAGAAAUACGUGCCUGUAGAAAUGUGCCUCAACUAUGACACGUGAAUAACCUUGUUGUUCACUUUGAGAAAUAUUUUGAAGAUAUUUCUUAAUGACUAUAGUUUCACCUCAGCCUCUGUAUCUCUCUUUCAACUAUGAUUAAAAAAGUGAGGCUUCAGGUGUUGUGGACAGACUUGUGCAACCUCCAUUGCAGUGAGUGUUUUGCUCUGGUUUGUCUGAUUGAGCCCUGUUCCAAGAUGUGAGAUUG
rnacentral:lncRNA from 1 species